UACGUAGGCAGCAAGCGUUGUUCGGAGUUAUUGGGCGUAAAGAGUGCGUAGGCGGUCCUGUAAGUUUGGUGUGAAAUCUCCCGGCUCAACUGGGAGGGUGCGCCGAAGACUGCAGGGCUUGAGUAUGGGAGAGGUAAGCGGAAUUCCUGGUGUAGCGGUGAAAUGCGUAGAUAUCAGGAGGAACACCUGUGGUGUAGACAGCUUACUGGACCAUAACUGACGCUGAGGCACGAAAGCGUGGGUAGCAAACAGG
rnacentral:rRNA from 1 species